AUGGCGGCAAAGAAGCAUCUCUUUCGCUUUCGGUCUUUCGUGAUAAAGGACGGGUCAGAAAAUCGUUUUUGGGAAGACAUCUGGCUAGGCAAUGCUAGCCUCCGAGAACAAUACCCAGCCUUAUACAACAUUGCACGCGAUAAGAAUAAUACUAUUGCGCAAGUGUUCAGCUCAUCCCCGCCAAAUAUUUUGUUCAGGCGGGAUUUGAUUGGAACCCGACUUAUGUCAUGGAAUAAUCUAUUGUCCCGUCUGGAUUCGAUUAUCCUGACACAAGGUCGCGAUGUGUUUCGCUGGAACCUUACUACAUCGGGGUCUUUCACAGUA
rnacentral:rRNA from 1 species